rnacentral:rRNA from 1 species
GAUGAACGCUAGCGGGAGGCCUAACACAUGCAAGCCGAGCGGUAUUUGUUCUUCGGAACAGAGAGAGCGGCGUAUGGGUGCGGAACACGUGCGCAACCGGCCUUUAUCAGGGGGAUAGCCUUUCGAAAGGAAGAUUAAUACCCCAUAAUAUAUUGAUUCGCAUGGAUUGAUAUUGAAAACUCCGGUGGAUAGAGAUGGGCACGCGCAAGAUUAGAUAGUUGGUGAGGUAACGGCUCACCAAGUCGAUGAUCUUUAGGGGGCCUGAGAGGGUGAUCCCCCACACUGGUACUGAGACACGGACCAGACUCCUACGGGAGGCAGCAGUGAGGAAUAUUGGACAAUGGGUGAGAGCCUGAUCCAGCCAUCCCGCGUGAAGGACGACGGUUCUAUGGAUUGUAAACUUCUUUUAUAUAGGGAUAAACCUACUUACGUGUAAGUAGCUGAAGGUACUAUAUGAAUAAGCACCGGCUAACUCCGUGCCAGCCGCCGCAGUAAUAC